rnacentral:ncRNA from 1 species
GACGACCGGCUGGACACACCAGCAAGACCCUGUGCCCGGCCCACAAGUGGAGGCUCCGAUCUCCCACCCGACCGCCCUCCGGGACGGCGGGUCACCCCGGUCAGGCGGCCACCAUCGUUCCGUACGGACGAUGGAGUCGCCCGAAAGCGCGCCCCGCGAUCAUCGCGGCGGUGCUCCGGCAGUGUAUUUGGAGCCCCGCCUGUGAUCGUCCGGGGCAUUUUUU